rnacentral:rRNA from 1 species
ACGCUCGACACCUACGGAGGCAGCAGUGGGGAAUAUUGCACAAUGGGGGAAACCCUGAUGCAGCGACGCCGCGUGAGCGAAGAAGUAUCUCGGUAUGUAAAGCUCUAUCAGCAGGGAAGAAGAUGACGGUACCUGACUAAGAAGCACCGGCUAAAUACGUACCAGCAGCCGCGGUAAUCUGAGCGGGCUGGCAAGGC